CCUACGGGUGGCAGCAGUGGGGAAUAUUGGGCAAUGGGCGCAAGCCUGACCCAGCAACGCCGCGUGAAGGAAGAAGGCCCUCGGGUUGUAAACUUCUUUUAUCAGGGACGAAACAAAUGACGGUACCUGAUGAAUAAGCCACGGCUAACUACGUGCCAGCAGCCGCGGUAAUACGUAGGUGGCAAGCGUUAUCCGGAUUUACUGGGUGUAAGGGGCGUGUAGGCGGGAGGGCAAGUCAGACGUGAAAUGCCAGGGCUGAACCCUGGAACUGCGUUUGAAACUGUUCUUCUUGAGUGAUGGAGAGGCAGGCGGAAUUCCGGGUGUAGCGGGGAAAUGCGUAGAUAUACGGAGGAACACCAGUGGCGAAGGCGGCCUGCUGGACAUUAACUGACGCUGAGGCGCGAAAGCGUGGGGAGCAAACAGGAUUAGAUACCCUAGUAGUC
rnacentral:rRNA from 1 species